rnacentral:rRNA from 1 species
UGAGGGUUGUAAAGCACUUUCAAUGGUGAAGAAGGGUUCGCAUCUAAUAGGUGUGAGCUUUGACGUUAACUUUAGAAGAAGCACCGGCUAACUCCGUGCCAGCAGCCGCGGUAAUACGGAGGGUGCAAGCGUUAAUCGGAAUUACUGGGCGUAAAGCGCGCGUAGGCGGUUGUUUAAGUCAGAUGUGAAAUCCCCGGGCUCAACCUGGGAAUGGCCUCUGAUACUGGGCAACUAGAGUUUGGAAGAGGGAAGUAGAAUUUCAGGUGUAGCGGUGAAAUGCAUAGAGAUCUGAAGGAAUACCAGUGGCGAAGGCGACUUCCUGGUCCAGAACUGACGCUGAGGUGCGAAAGCGUGGGUAGCAAACGGGAUUAGAUACCCCGGUAGUCCACGCUGUAAACGAUGUCAACUAGCCGUUGGGCGCCUAGUGCGCUUAGUGGCGCAGCUAACGCAUUAAGUUGACCGCCUGGGGAGUACGGUCGCAAGACUAAAACUCAAAUGAAUUGA